AAAAAGGCUUAAAAGCCCGUAAAAAGGGCUGUUUGAAACAAUAGCCCCCAAGCCUUAAAAGAGAGGCAGAACGUUAUCAAAAAGGACGGAAAGCAAAAGCUAAAAAAAAAAAACAGAAUCGUUCCUCACGAAACAGAGGCUCCAUUUAUUCACAGGCAGCGGAAAAAUCUAGGGUUUCUUACAAAUCACUAAUUCUUGAACUCAGAAUCGAUUGUUUGACUGGUGUCAAUUGAACUGGGGCUACGUAUUGGCUCGAGAAGUUUUGAGGAACCGGAUUUGCAGGCGAGCAGGCUACGAGUUAGGACUUCCUUCCCUUCCAGUGAUAUUGUCGCAGAAAUGGAUCGUACUCGCAACUCUGACACCGACACUCAGGAUGCUUCUUAAGAAACCAUCGCUACUAUUGUGGCUCAAGGUAGAACUAAGAAGGAUUCGACUCAGAAAAGGAGGGGAAAUCCGCAAAGGGAGUCCAAGUACCCCGGGUUGAACAAGAAGAAGGGGUGGAGCAUGGUGAUCCAGUACCUCAGGAUCCAGUACUGCCCCCAACAGCAGCCCCGGCUCA